rnacentral:rRNA from 1 species
CACGUAGGGUCCAAGCGUUGUCCGGAAUUAUUGGGCGUAAAGAGCUCGUAGGCGGUGUGUCGCGUCGGAUGUGAAAGCCCGGGGCUUAACUUCGGGUCUGCAUUCGGUACGGGCAUGCUGGAGUUCGGUAGGGGAGACUGGAAUUCCUGGUGUAGCGGUGAAAUGCGCAGAUAUCAGGAGGAACACCGGUGGCGAAGGCGGGUCUCUGGGCCGAUACUGACGCUGAGGAGCGAAAGCGUGGGGAGCGAACAGG